CGCGAAAGUUGACCUUCGGGUUGACUGGAGAGCGGCAGACGGGUGAGUAACACGUGGGUAACCUGCCCUGAGAUGGGGGAUAACCACCCGAAAGGGUGGCUAAUACCGCAUGAGACCACGGAACUUUGGUUCUGUGAUUAAAGGCUUCGGCCGUCUCAGGAGGGGCCCGCGGUCGAUUAGCUUGUUGGUGGGGUAACGGCUCACCAAGGCUCCGAUCAAUAGCUGGUCUGAGAGGAUGAUCAGCCACACUGGAACUGAGACACGGUCCAGACUCCUACGGGAGGCAGCAGUAGGGAAUAUUGCGCAAUGGGCGAAAGCCUGACGCAGCGACGCCGCGUGAGUGAUGAAGGCCUUAGGGUCGUAAAGCUCUGUUGAAUGGGAAGAAACAAAUGACGGUACCAUUCGAGGAAGGACCGGCUAACUUCGUGCCAGCAGCCGCGGUAAGACGAGGGGUCCUAGCGUUGUUCGGAAUCAUUGGGCGUAAAGCGUGUGUAGGUGGCCAUGUAAGUCAGGUGUGAAAGCCCCGGGCUCAACCCGGGAAGUGCAUCUGAUACUGCGUGGCUUGAGUACCAAAGAGGGUAGUGGAAUUCCAGGUGUAGUGGCGAAAUACGUAGAUAUCU
rnacentral:rRNA from 1 species